rnacentral:rRNA from 1 species
AGUGAACGCUGGCGGUAGGCCUAACACAUGCAAGUCGAACGGCAGCACAGUAAGAGCUUGCUCUUACGGGUGGCGAGUGGCGGACGGGUGAGGAAUACAUCGGAAUCUACUUUUUCGUGGGGGAUAACGUAGGGAAACUUACGCUAAUACCGCAUACGACCUACGGGUGAAAGCAGGGGAUCUUCGGACCUUGCGCGAUUGAAUGAGCCGAUGUCGGAUUAGCUAGUUGGCGGGGUAAAGGCCCACCAAGGCGACGAUCCGUAGCUGGUCUGAGAGGAUGAUCAGCAACACUGGCACUGAGACACGGUACAGACUCCUACGGGAGGCAGCAGUGGGGAAUAUUGGACAAUGGGGUCAAGCCUGAUCCAGCCAUACCGCGUGGGUGAAGAAGGCCUUCGGGUUGUAAAGCCCUUUUGUUGGGAAAGAAAAGCAGCAGGUUAAUACCCCGCUGUUCUGACGGUACCCAAAGAAUAAGCACCGGCUAACUUCGUG